GUGAAUCAUCGAAUCUUUGAACGCACCUUGCGCUCCUUGGUAUUCCGAGGAGCAUGCCUGUUUGAGUGUCAUUAAAUUCUCAACCCCUCCAGCUUUGUAAGUUGUGAUGGGGCUUGGAAGUUGGGAGUUGCAGGACUCUAUAAUAGAGGUCGGCUCUCCUUAAAUGCAUUAGCGGAACCGUUUGCAGUCCCGUCACUAGUGUGAUAAUUAUCUACACUGUGAUGAUUGCUCUCUGGCUUGUUCAGCUACUAAUCGUCCAUUAUCGGACAAUGUAUUGACCAUCUUGACCUCAAAUCAGGUAGGACUACCCGCUGAACUUAAGCAUAUCAAUAAGCGGAGGA
rnacentral:misc_RNA from 1 species